AGGGCUAUAGCUCAGUUGGUAGAGCACCUCGUUUACACGCUAAUAAGUUUGAUCUGUUUUACCGAGAAGGUCUACGGUUCGAAUCCGUAUAG
rnacentral:tRNA from 1 species